rnacentral:rRNA from 1 species
UAGGGAAUAUUGCAAAAUGGGCGAAAGCCCGAUGCAGCAACGCCGCGUGGGCGAUGAAGGCCUUCGGGUCGUAAAGCCCUUUUUGAGGGGAUGAGGAAGGACAGUACCCUCAGAAUAAGCCUCGGCUAACUACGUGCCAGCAGCCGCGGUAAAACGUAGGAGGCGAGCGGUAUCCGGAUUUACUGGGCGUAAAGCGCGUGCAGGCGGAUUGGAGAGUUGGAUGUGAAAGCUCCCGGCUUAACUGGGAGAGGUCGUUCAAUACUUCCAGUCUUGAGUGCAGUAGAGGGAAGUGGAAUUCCGGGUGUAGUGGUGAAAUGCGUAGAUAUCCGGAGGAACACCAGUGGCGAAAGCGGCUUCCUGGACUGUAACUGACGCUCAGACGCGAAAGCUAGGGUAGCAAACG